rnacentral:rRNA from 1 species
CCUACGGGCGGCAGCAGUGAGGAAUAUUGGUCAAUGGACGAGAGUCUGAACCAGCCAAGUAGCGUGAAGGAUGACUGCCCUAUGGGUUGUAAACUUCUUUUAUAUGGGAAUAAAAUGUUCCACGUGUGGGAUUUUGUAUGUACCAUAUGAAUAAGGAUCGGCUAACUCCGUGCCAGCAGCCGCGGUAAUACGGAGGAUCCGAGCGUUAUCCGGAUUUAUUGGGUUUAAAGGGAGCGUAGGUGGAUUGUUAAGUCAGUUGUGAAAGUUUGCGGCUCAACCGUAAAAUUGCAGUUGAAACUGGCAGUCUUGAGUACAGUAGAGGUGGGCGGAAUUCGUGGUGUAACGGUGAAAUGCUUAGAUAUCACGAAGAACUCCGAUUGCGAAGGCAGUUCACUGGACUGCAACUGACACUGAGGCUCGAAAGUGUGGGUAUCAAACAGGAUUAGAUACCCCUGUAGUC